rnacentral:rRNA from 1 species
GGUUAAGCGACUAAGCGUACACGGUGGAUGCCCUGGCAGUCAGAGGCGAUGAAGGACGUGCUAAUCUGCGAUAAGCGUCGGUAAGGUGAUAUGAACCGUUAUAACCGGCGAUUUCCGAAUGGGGAAACCCAGUGUGUUUCGACACACUAUCAUUAACUGAAUCCAUAGGUUAAUGAGGCGAACCGGGGGAACUGAAACAUCUAAGUACCCCGAGGAAAAGAAAUCAACCGAGAUUCCCCCAGUAGCGGCGAGCGAACGGGGNNNNNNNNNNGCGGGACACGUGGUAUCCUGUCUGAAUAUGGGGGGACCAUCCUCCAAGGCUAAAUACUCCUGACUGACCGAUAGUGAACCAGUACCGUGAGGGAAAGGCGAAAAGAACCCCGGCGAGGGGAGUGAAAAAGAACCUGAAACCGUGUACGUACAAGCAGUGGGAGCCUCUUUUAUGGGGUGACUGCGUACCUUUUGUAUAAUGGGUCAGCGACUUAUAUUCUGUAGCAAGGUUAACCGAAUAGGGGAGCCGAAGGGAAACCGAGUCUUAACUGGGCGUUAAGUUGCAGGGUAUAGACCCGAAACCCGGUGAUCUAGCCAUGGGCAGGUUGAAGGUUGGGUAACACUAACUGGAGGACCGAACCGACUAAUGUUGAAAAAUUAGCGGAUGACUUGUGGCUGGGGGUGAAAGGCCAAUCAAACCGGGAGAUAGCUGGUUCUCCCCGAAAGCUAUUUAGGUAGCGCCUCGUGAAUUCAUCUCCGGGGGUAGAGCACUGUUUCGGCAAGGGGGUCAUCCCGACUUACCAACCCGAUGCAAACUGCGAAUACCGGAGAAUGUUAUCACGGGAGACACACGGCGGGUGCUAACGUCCGUCGUGAAGAGGGAAACAACCCAGACCGCCAGCUAAGGUCCCAAAGUCAUGGUUAAGUGGGAAACGAUGUGGGAAGGCCCAGACAGCCAGGAUGUUGGCUUAGAAGCAGCCAUCAUUUAAAGAAAGCGUAAUAGCUCACUGGUCGAGUCGGCCUGCGCGGAAGAUGUAACGGGGCUAAACCAUGCACCGAAGCUGCGGCAGCGACACUAUGUGUUGUUGGGUAGGGGAGCGUUCUGUAAGCCUGUGAAGGUGUACUGUGAGGUAUGCUGGAGGUAUCAGAAGUGCGAAUGCUGACAUAAGUAACGAUAAAGCGGGUGAAAAGCCCGCUCGCCGGAAGACCAAGGGUUCCUGUCCAACGUUAAUCGGGGCAGGGUGAGUCGACCCCUAAGGCGAGGCCGAAAGGCGUAGUCGAUGGGAAACAGGUUAAUAUUCCUGUACUUGGUGUUACUGCGAAGGGGGGACGGAGAAGGCUAUGUUGGCCGGGCGACGGUUGUCCCGGUUUAAGCGUGUAGGCUGGUUUUCCAGGCAAAUCCGGAAAAUCAAGGCUGAGGCGUGAUGACGAGGCACUACGGUGCUGAAGCAACAAAUGCCCUGCUUCCAGGAAAAGCCUCUAAGCAUCAGGUAACAUCAAAUCGUACCCCAAACCGACACAGGUGGUCAGGUAGAGAAUACCAAGGCGCUUGAGAGAACUCGGGUGAAGGAACUAGGCAAAAUGGUGCCGUAACUUCGGGAGAAGGCACGCUGAUAUGUAGGUGAAGUCCCUCGCGGAUGGAGCUGAAAUCAGUCGAAGAUACCAGCUGGCUGCAACUGUUUAUUAAAAACACAGCACUGUGCAAACACGAAAGUGGACGUAUACGGUGUGACGCCUGCCCGGUGCCGGAAGGUUAAUUGAUGGGGUCAGCGCAAGCGAAGCUCUUGAUCGAAGCCCCGGUAAACGGCGGCCGUAACUAUAACGGUCCUAAGGUAGCGAAAUUCCUUGUCGGGUAAGUUCCGACCUGCACGAAUGGCGUAAUGAUGGCCAGGCUGUCUCCACCCGAGACUCAGUGAAAUUGAACUCGCUGUGAAGAUGCAGUGUACCCGCGGCAAGACGGAAAGACCCCGUGAACCUUUACUAUAGCUUGACACUGAACAUUGAGCCUUGAUGUGUAGGAUAGGUGGGAGGCUUAGAAGUGUGGACGCCAGUCUGCAUGGAGCCGACCUUGAAAUACCACCCUUUAAUGUUUGAUGUUCUAACGUUGACCCGUGAUCCGGGUUGCGGACAGUGUCUGGUGGGUAGUUUGACUGGGGCGGUCUCCUCCUAAAGAGUAACGGAGGAGCACGAAGGUUGGCUAAUCCUGGUCGGACAUCAGGAGGUUAGUGCAAUGGCAUAAGCCAGCUUGACUGCGAGCGUGACGGCGCGAGCAGGUGCGAAAGCAGGUCAUAGUGAUCCGGUGGUUCUGAAUGGAAGGGCCAUCGCUCAACGGAUAAAAGGUACUCCGGGGAUAACAGGCUGAUACCGCCCAAGAGUUCAUAUCGACGGCGGUGUUUGGCACCUCGAUGUCGGCUCAUCACAUCCUGGGGCUGAAGUAGGUCCCAAGGGUAUGGCUGUUCGCCAUUUAAAGUGGUACGCGAGCUGGGUUUAGAACGUCGUGAGACAGUUCGGUCCCUAUCUGCCGUGGGCGCUGGAGAACUGAGGGGGGCUGCUCCUAGUACGAGAGGACCGGAGUGGACGCAUCACUGGUGUUCGGGUUGUCAUGCCAAUGGCACUGCCCGGUAGCUAAAUGCGGAAGAGAUAAGUGCUGAAAGCAUCUAAGCACGAAACUUGCCCCGAGAUGAGUUCUCCCUGACUCCUUGAGAGUCCUGAAGGAACGUUGAAGACGACGACGUUGAUAGGCCGGGUGUGUAAGCGCAGCGAUGCGUUGAGCUAACCGGUACUAAUGAACCGUGAGGCUUAACCUU